AAGUAAAGGAACAGUCUCUCUCUCUCUCUCUCUCUCUCUCUCUCUCUCUCUCUGUGUGUGUGUGUGAGAGAGAGAGAGAGAGAGAGACAGAGAGACAGACUGCCUGCCUGCA